rnacentral:rRNA from 1 species
GAUGAACGCUGGCGGCGUGCCUAACACAUGCAAGUCGAACGGAAAGGCCCUGCGUUUGUGGGGUUCUCGAUUGGCGAAGGCGUGAGUAUCACGUGUGUAUCCUGCCCUUGUCUUUGGGAUAACUUCACGAAACUGGGGCUAAUAUCGGAUAGGAUCUCCUGCUGCAUGGUGGGGGUUGGAAAGUUUCGGCGGUUGGGGAUGGACUCGCGGCUUACCAGCUUGUUGGUGGGGUAGGUGAUUACCAGGGCUUUGACGGGUAGCCGGCCUGAGAGGGUGAUCGGCCACACGGGAACGGGGACACGGUCCAGACUCCUACGGGAGGCAGCAGUGGGGAAGCUGCGGCAAGGGGCGAAAGCCUGACGGAGCAACGCCGCGUGGGUGACGAAGGUCUUCGGAUCGUAAAGCUCUGUUAUUAGGAAAGAACAUAAGCGGGGGAAAAUGUGGCGGUCCUGACGGUACCUAAAGAAAAAGCACCGGCUAACUACGUG